rnacentral:rRNA from 1 species
UGGGGAAUAUUGCACAAUGGGCGAAAGCCUGAUGCAGCGACGCCGCGUGAGGGAUGACGGCCUUCGGGUUGUAAACCUCUUUCAGUAGGGACGAAGCGCAAGUGACGGUACCUGCAGAAGAAGCACCGGCUAACUACGUGCCAGCAGCCGCGGUAAUACGUAGGGUGCGAGCGUUGUCCGGAAUUACUGGGCGUAAAGAGCUCGUAGGCGGUUUGUCACGUCGUCUGUGAAAUCCUAGGGCUUAACCCUGGACGUGCAGGCGAUACGGGCUGACUUGAGUACUACAGGGGAGACUGGAAUUUCUGGUGUAGAGGUGGAAUACACAGAUAUCAGGAAGAACACCGAUGGCGAAGGCAGGUCUCUGGGUAGUAACUGACGCUGAGGAGCGAAAGCAUGGGUAGCGAACAGG